UACGGAGGGGGCUAGCGUUGUUCGGAAUUACUGGGCGUAAAGCGCACGUAGGCGGAUAUUUAAGUCAGGGGGUGAAAUCCCAGAGCUCAACUCUGGAACUGCCUUUGAUACUGGGUAUCUGGAGUAUGGAAGAGGUGAGUGGAAUUCCGAGUGUAGAGGUGAAAUUCGUAGAUAUUCGGAGGAACACCAGUGGCGAAGGCGGCUCACUGGUCCAUUACUGACGCUGAGUGCGGAAAGCGUGG
rnacentral:rRNA from 1 species